GUACUACACCAUCUCAGAAUGCCUUAGGCUAGCCCCACCAAUUAUCUCCAGCUUAAAGCCUAAGUCUAAGGUACAUGGAUAAUUGGUAUUAUGAGAUGAAUCAACUUUUAACUUCCAGAGAGAGACUGCCUGCAUAUCUCUGGGUCAGCCACUGUUUCAUCAUAACUGAAAGAAACAAAAAUGGUCCAGGAGAGUCUGAUUUUUCAAUUCCAGGCUUCUACUUGGCAGCCACCUAAAUUUCCAGGUCUCUACUUGACAGCCACCUAAAUGUAUGUGUGAUCUAUGAAGUUUAUGAAGAAAUAUCCCUUCUGACAACGACGGAGUAACUGACACUGGACUAGCCCUCCUACUGUAAACUACUAUAAAACUAAUGGUUUUACAUUUUA